rnacentral:rRNA from 1 species
AGUGAACGCUGGCGGUAGGCCUAACACAUGCAAGUCGAACGGCAGCACAGUAAGAGCUUGCUCUUACGGGUGGCGAGUGGCGGACGGGUGAGGAAUACAUCGGAAUCUACUUUGUCGUGGGGGAUAACGUAGGGAAACUUACGCUAAUACCGCAUACGACCUACGGGUGAAAGCAGGGGAUCUUCGGACCUUGCGCGAUUGAAUGAGCCGAUGUCGGAUUAGCUAGUUGGCGGGGUAAAGGCCCACCAAGGCGACGAUCCGUAGCUGGUCUGAGAGGAUGAUCAGCCACACUGGAACUGAGACACAGUCCAGACUCCUACGGGAGGCAGCAGUGGGGAAUAUUGGACAAUGGGCGCAAGCCUGAUCCAGCCAUACCGCGUGGGUGAAGAAGGCCUUCGGGUUGUAAAGCCCUUUUGUUGGGAAAGAAAAGCAGCAGGUUAAUACCCCGCUGUUCUGACGGUACCCAAAGAAUAAGCACCGGCUAACUUCGUG